rnacentral:lncRNA from 1 species
AAAUGGGAGUGGAGAAGCAAGUCGUGAGAGCCGGCAAUGGGCCCAACCACAACCUGGUCAAACUGUCACCGUCCACUGCACUGGUUUCGGGAAAAAUAGAGACCUGAAUCAGAAAUUCUGGCAGGCAAUGGGCCCAAACCACAACCUGGUCAAACUGUCACCGUCCACUGCACUAGUUUCGGGAAAAAUAGAGACCUGAAUUAGAAAUUCUGGAGCACUAAGGAUCCAGACCAGCAGCCUUUCUCUUUCAAGAUCGGCCAAGGCAGAAAUUCUGGAGCACUAUGGGAAAAAUAGAGACCUUUCUCAUAAAUGCUUUCUACCUUUUCUCUGGGUUAUGGUCGUUCUAAGAGACCACUAAUUUGCCUUUGAAGACAAAAUUAUUUACUACUGGAAUAAAAUCGAUUUGAGUAAAA